CAUGUGGUUAGACAUGGGAGGAGGGAGGACAGAAGCAUGACUCUUAGGACUUCUCUGGAGAGGCUGGGAAAUCACCAUGGCCACGUCCUGGAGGCUGGGAAUGAGGACUAGGUAAGGCUGGAAGCCACUGUCCUCAUGACCAGAUCUCAAGAAGAAGCACAAAGCCAGAUCACCUGGGAAGAUAUCUCCCCCCCUAGCUUGCUUAGCAGGAAGUUGAUGCUCAGGCAACAAAACAGUAUUUGCAUCCAUUUAUUUAAGCAUGAAAAGAACCGAAUGAGAAAGACAUCAUCUCCAUCACCCCAACUUACAGAUGUAGAAAUGGCAUCACAAAGGAUGCUUGCAGCUAAUGGCGCUAGGAUUUCCUUGGAGCUGAACUCUGACUUCCCAGUUCCUGACUCAACACAUGCUAAUCUGAUACUUCUUGGCAUGACUCAACUUCCCCAUUAUUGCUUUUCUUUCUCCUCUAUCUCACUGUGAUGUGGAAACAAGAGCAAAAGACAGCCAAAGGGAGGCAGAAAGCCGGGAGAGUGAGUACAAGGCCCAAGGAGAUGAGGGGCAGGUGACAGUGGGUAGACUUCUGAGGCUCUGAGCCCAAAUCGACCCUUUUCUUUCUGCUGGCACUGCAACAGAAAGCUGACUGGUGGAUGCUGGGAUAGUUGUUGCUGUCCCAUUCAGUACAGAAGAAGAUAGCAUCAUCGCCAGCUGGAGAGAGGUUCCCCCCGCUGCCUCCGAAGUAGGCUGCCAUGUGGUCGAGUGCCUAGGACCCAGAGAAGACAUCUGGGAGCCGAGGCUGACCCAGGUUGUCAACAGCAAGAAGCCUGGCAGCUCAAGCUCUGAGGAACAACUGCAAGGAACUGAAUUUUGCCACUAUGUGAGUUUGGAAAAGAACUCUGAGCGUGACAAGAAACUGCAGCUUCUGCCAGGUCCUUAAUUUCAGUGCAGAGGGCUCAGCCAGCUUGCAUCGGGACUCCUGACCCGUGCUCAUGGGAUAGAGUAAACAUGUGUUGCUUACAUCGCUGUGUCUGUGGCCAUUUGUUACACAGCAAAAGAAAACUAAUGGAGGGUAAUUGGAAGAGUCACGUAGCUCUUCUGACACCCCCGUUUUCUUGUUCUCUCUCUCUCUCUUUUUUAAAAGUUGAUUUAUAAAACGAGUGUUCCAACUGGAUUUAUUGAGAUAACCUAUCUGAAGGAGUUUUAUAAAUUGUCAACUCAUUAACACCGCUGAGGAAGGUUUAUUAACAAUAUACAGUAGCACAAUAAAUUAACAAUGAGAAGGAGAACAGGCAGCUAAAGCUUUUGUCUUUUUUAAAAAGCAUAUC